rnacentral:tRNA from 1 species
GCCUCCGUAGCAUAGUAGCCAUUGCGCUACCUUGGUAAGGUAGAGGUCGCGAGUGCAAGUCUCGCCGGAGGCU